GACUGAAUGUAUCUCCAUACCAAAUUUCAGCAAAAUAGAUUGAAUAGCUUAAGCGAAAAUCAUAAAAGUUUAUUGUGCGGGAAUCGUACAUUUUCCGGGAAAAAAGU